AGAGUUUGAUCAUGGCUCAGAAUCAACGCUGGCGGCGCGCCUAACACAUGCAAGUCGAACGAGAAAGCAGGAGCAAUCUUGUGAGUAAAGUGGCGUACGGGUGAGUAACACGUGGAUCAUCUACCCUCUUGUGGGGGAUAACCCUGGGAAACCGGGGCUAAUACCGCAUAAGCUCGAGAGAGGAAAGCAGCAAUGCGCAGGAGGAGGAGUCCGCGGCCGAUUAGCUAGUUGGUAGGGUAAAAGCCUACCAAGGCAACGAUCGGUAGCCGGCCUGAGAGGGCACACGGCCACACUGGCACUGAAACACGGGCCAGACUCCUACGGGAGGCAGCAGUGGGGAAUCUUGCACAAUGGGGGCAACCCUGAUGCAGCGACGCCGCGUGAGCGAUGAAGCCCUUCGGGGUGUAAAGCUCUUUCGGCAGGGAAGAUUAUGACGGUACCUGCAGAAGCAGCUGCGGCUAACUACGUGCCAGCAGCCGCGGUA
rnacentral:rRNA from 1 species